rnacentral:rRNA from 1 species
GGAUUAGAUACCCUGGUAAUCCCCACAGUAACGAUGGAUGACUAGACGUUGGCAGCAUGCGUUAGUAGAGCAGCUACCGCCAUUAACCUUCCCCUGGGGAGUAUCGCGCAAGGAGUUAAACUAAAAGAAAUUAAGGGGGGCCCGCACAACCGAGCGAGCAUGUGGUUUAAUUCGAGAAAAGCGAAAAAACAUUUACAGCCCUUUACAUACCAUUUCUGGUACAGAGGAUGGGCGCUUCGGUUCGGCCAGGCCGUUAACAGGGGGUGCCAUGGCUGUCGGAAACUCGUGUCAUGAGAAUUUGGGGUAAAGUCGCGCAAAGAGCGCAACCCUCGUCCCUAGUUCCCAGCAUUGAGUAGUGCACUAUAGGGAGACUGCCAGUCAUUGUAGGAGGAAGGUGGGGAUGACGUCACGACAUCCUGUUUCUUACGGGCUGGGCUACACCCGUCCUACAAUGGUGGUGACAGUGGGCACCCACUCCGCGAGGAGGAGCUAAUCUCAAAAAGCCACCUCAGUUCGGAUUGCACUCUGCAACUCGGGUGCAUGAAGUUGGAAUCGCUAGUAAUCGUGGAUCAGCAUGCCACGGUGAAUACGUUCCCGGUCCUUGUACACCCCCCCCGUCACACCAUGGGAGUUGGUUUUACCCGAAUACGGAGCGCAAAUCUUCGGGAGGCAGCUGGCCACGGUAAGAUCAGCGACUGGGGUGAAG